rnacentral:lncRNA from 1 species
CUUGCCUAAAGUUACCCAGCUGAUUAAUGUGACAGAGCCAGAGUUUUAAACCAAAACUAUCUUUCUCCAAAGGUUCCAGGCAUGAAGCAUGUGCUGUCCUGGGCCCUGAAUAUCAAGCCAGGUAGAGGAACCCCAUCCUUCUGUUGUCAUUUCAAGCUAGAGGCUCAAGCCUGGAGGAGUGAGGAUCAAGAUCGAGAACUCAAAGCUGUUUAGAGGAAGAAGCCAAGUUCAAGGAGGAGUGAGGAACGCUUGAGGCGAAACCUUUUGGAAGCUCAGGAAGCUUGGAGGAUUUCGUGGAUUACAGAAUGUUGAAGUUGGAGAACUGUAGAGGGGCCUAAAAAAUGUUCCAGAAUCAAGACGGUGCCUGAUGCCCUACCUAGCCCCUCUCCAGCACACAGGAGCCCCGGGCCCUUGGCAAUCAUGUCUGCGCAGCUUGGACCCCAUAUCCAAAAGGGGAGCACGCCCCAAUUUACUCUCACCCCACCAGGUUAAUCCAUGAGAAGAGCUUGGAACAGCGCCCGGCAGUGUCUCAGCGCACCCAAAGUGUGUGCAGACAUGCUCACUCUAGAAGAAACUAGUUGCCAUGUUGUGAGGAUACUCAACAGUCCUGUGGAGGGGGCCACAUGUAGAAAGACCGCAUGUGGAAAGAAACUGACUUGCUAGCAGCAACUUUACAGGUAUGUAUGAAAUAAACCACCUUGGAAGAAGAUCCUCCAGCCUCUCAGUCAAGACUUAAGAGAAUUUCAGCCUUCAAUCAUUUAAUCUGCCAGCCAGGACCCCAGACACUGCAGAACAGAGACAAACAUUCCUGCUGUGCCCUCUCUGAAUUCUUGACCCACAGGAACUGUGAGACAGUGAAAGAUUAUUGCCAUUUUGACCUUCUAAGUUUUGGUGUAAUUUCUUUCUUUUUUUUUUUUUAAUUGAAACAGAGUCUCGCUCUGUUGCCCAGG